GCCCGGAUGGCGAAAUUGGUAGACGCAAGGGACUUAAAAUCCCUCGAAGGGUAACCUUCGUGCCGGUUCGACCCCGGCUCCGGGCACCA
rnacentral:tRNA from 1 species